rnacentral:rRNA from 1 species
GGUUAAGCGAAUAAGCGUACACGGUGGAUGCCUAGGCAAUCAGAGGCGAUGAAGGACGUGCUAAUCUGCGAUAAGCGUCGGUAAGGUGAUAUGAACCGUUAUACCCGACGAUUUCCGAAUGGGGAAACCCAAUAUCCAAUGGAUAUUAUCAUUAACUGAAUACAUAGGUUAAUGAAGCGAACCGGGAGAACUGAAACAUCUCAGUACCCCGAGGAAAAGAAAUCAACCGAGAUUCCCCUAGUAGCGGCGAGCGAACGGGGAACAGCCCAGAGUCUUAAUCAACAGCAGCAUCAGGAGAACGGUCUGGAAAGUCCGGCAGUAAAGGGUGAUAGCCCCGUAUCUGAAGAUGCUGUUAUUGUGAACUCGACGAGUAGGGCGGGACACGUGUUAUCCUGUCUGAAUAUGGGGGGACCAUCCUCCAAGGCUAAAUACUCCUGAUUGACCGAUAGUGAACCAGUACCGUGAGGGAAAGGCGAAAAGAACCCCGGCGAGGGGAGUGAAAAAGAACCUGAAACCGUGUACGUACAAGCAGUAGGAGCCUCUUCGUGAGGUGACUGCGUACCUUUUGUAUAAUGGGUCAGCGACUUAUAUUCUGUAGCAAGGUUAACCGUAUAGGGGAGCCGUAGGGAAACCGAGUCUUAACUGGGCGAAUGAGUUGCAGGGUAUAGACCCGAAACCCGGUGAUCUAUCCAUGGGCAGGUUGAAGGUUGGGUAACACUAACUGGAGGACCGAACCGACUAAUGUUGAAAAAUUAGCGGAUGACUUGUGGAUGGGGGUGAAAGGCCAAUCAAACCGGGAGAUAGCUGGUUCUCCCCGAAAGCUAUUUAGGUAGCGCCUCGUGAAUUCAUCUUCGGGGGUAGAGCACUGUUUCGACUAGGGGGUCAUCCCGACUUACCAACUCGAUGCAAACUGCGAAUACCGAAGAAUGUUAUCACGGGAGACACACGGCGGGUGCUAACGUCCGUCGUGAAGAGGGAAACAACCCAGACCGCCAGCUAAGGUCCCAAAGUCAUGGUUAAGUGGGAAACGAAGUGGGAAGGCUCAGACAGCCAGGAUGUUGGCUUAGAAGCAGCCAUCAUUUAAAGAAAGCGUAAUAGCUCACUGGUCGAGUCGGCCCGCGCGGAAGAUGUAACGGGGCUAAACCAUGCACCGAAGCUGCGGCAGCGACACUAUGUGUUGUUGGGUAGGGGAGCGUUCUGUAAGCCUGCGAAGGUGUACUGUGAGGUAUGCUGGAGGUAUCAGAAGUGCGAAUGCUGACAUAAGUAACGAUAAUGCGGGUGAAAAACCCGCACGCCGGAAGACCAAGGGUUCCUGUCCAACGUUAAUCGGGGCAGGGUGAGUCGACCCCUAAGGCGAGGCUGAAAAGCGUAGUCGAUGGGAAACGGGUUAAUAUUCCCGUACUGGUGGUAACUGCGAUGGGGGAACGGAGAAGGCUAGGUUGUCCGGGCGACGGUCGUCCCGGUUCAAGCAUGUAGGCAGAGUGAUUAGGCAAAUCCGGUCACUUAAUGCUGAGGUGUGAUGACGAGCCACUAAGGUGGUGAAGCAAUUGAUGCCCUGCUUCCAGGAAAAGCCUCUAAGCUUCAGGUUACCAACAAUCGUACCCCAAACCGACACAGGUGGUCAGGUAGAGAAUACUCAGGCGCUUGAGAGAACUCGGGUGAAGGAACUAGGCAAAAUGGUGCCGUAACUUCGGGAGAAGGCACGCUGGCGGUAAGUGAAGUCCCUCGCGGACGGAGCCGAAGCCAGUCGAAGAUACCAGCUGGCUGCAACUGUUUAUUAAAAACACAGCACUGUGCAAACACGAAAGUGGACGUAUACGGUGUGACGCCUGCCCGGUGCUGGAAGGUUAAUUGAUGGGGUUAUCCUUAGGGAGAAGCUCUUGAUCGAAGCCCCAGUAAACGGCGGCCGUAACUAUAACGGUCCUAAGGUAGCGAAAUUCCUUGUCGGGUAAGUUCCGACCUGCACGAAUGGCGUAAUGAUGGCCAGGCUGUCUCCACCCGAGACUCAGUGAAAUUGAACUCGCUGUGAAGAUGCAGUGUACCCGCGGCAAGACGGAAAGACCCCGUGAACCUUUACUAUAGCUUGACACUGAACAUUGAGCCUUGAUGUGUAGGAUAGGUGGGAGACUAUGAAGUGUGGACGCCAGUCUGCAUGGAGUCAACCUUGAAAUACCACCCUUUAACGUUUGAUGUUCUAACCUAGGUCCAUAAUCUGGAUCGGGGACCGUGUCUGGUGGGUAGUUUGACUGGGGCGGUCUCCUCCUAAAGAGUAACGGAGGAGCACGAAGGUUGGCUAAGCAUGGUCGGACAUCAUGCGGUUAGUGCAAAGGCAUAAGCCAGCUUGACUGUGAGAGUGACGGCUCGAGCAGGUACGAAAGUAGGUCUUAGUGAUCCGGUGGUUCUGAAUGGAAGGGCCAUCGCUCAACGGAUAAAAGGUACUCCGGGGAUAACAGGCUGAUACCGCCCAAGAGUUCAUAUCGACGGCGGUGUUUGGCACCUCGAUGUCGGCUCAUCACAUCCUGGGGCUGAAGUAGGUCCCAAGGGUAUGGCUGUUCGCCAUUUAAAGUGGUACGCGAGCUGGGUUUAGAACGUCGUGAGACAGUUCGGUCCCUAUCUGCCGUGGGCGUUGGAAGAUUGAGAGGGGUUGCUCCUAGUACGAGAGGACCGGAGUGAACGCACCACUGGUGUUCGGGUUGUCAUGCCAAUGGCAUUGCCCGGUAGCUAAGUGCGGAAGAGAUAACCGCUGAAAGCAUCUAAGCGGGAAACUUGCCUCGAGAUGAGUCUUCCCUGUCACCUAGAGUGACCUAAAGGAACGUUUAAGACUAAGACGUUGAUAGGCUGGGUGUGUAAGCGUAGCGAUACGUUGAGCUAACCAGUACUAAUGAACCGUGAGGCUUAACCUG